rnacentral:misc_RNA from 1 species
GCAAACUUGGUCAUUUAGAGGAAGUAAAAGUCGUAACAAGGUUUCCGUAGGUGAACCUGCGGAAGGAUCAUUAUUGAAACAUUGUAAAGGAAGGUUGAGCUGGCUCUUCACGGGCAUGUGCUCGCCUUUCUUUCAAUCUUCAUCCACCUGUGCACUUUUUGUAGGGAGCUUUGAGAAUAGACCUCUCGGGGUCUUAGUAUUAGGCUCUCUAUGUCUUCACACACUCUUGAAUGUAUGUCGUUGAAUGUCUUUUACAGGGACUUAAUUGACCCUUUAAAAACUAUACAACUUUCAGCAACGGAUCUCUUGGCUCUCGCAUCGAUGAAGAACGCAGC